AUGAGGAUGGUGAUGAGAGUCAUGGUGGUUGUGCUUUCUGCUGUGUUGACUGACAGAUUAUUAAAAGGUUCAUUUUCAGUGGUUAGAGGUUUGUUCAGAGUGCAGGAGGUUUUUGUACGGCCACUUAAUGAGUUUGUAUCACUGUGGUUGACUUUUGGUGGAGGAACCAAACUCAUCGUUGGCUCGGGUGUGGUGAGGCCCACCCUCACAGUCCUCCCUCCAUCCAAAGAGGAAGACAAACAGAGUAGUGCCACUGUGGUGUGUUUGGCCACCGGGGGCUUCCCCUCAAACUGGAAGCUGGGCUGGAAGUUAGGGGGCACCAGCACAUCCUCAGGGGUGUCAACCAGCCUGGAGGUCUUGGGGACAGACGGCCGCUACAGCUGGAGCAGCACCCUGAGCCUCUCUGCAGACCAGUGGAGGAAGGCGGGCUCAGUGAGCUGUGAGGCCAGUCUGAGUGGACAGAGCCCCGUCACUCAAACCCUGGACCCUGACCAGUGCUCAGAGUAGAGCUUCAGCAACACUUCCUGUCUGCAUAUGAUGUGUUUUAUAAGUUUGAUGAAGCUACAUGUUUCUGCUGUCGCGAUAUUUCUGCAAACAUUUGACUCUCUAUUGAUGUGCAUGCUAAGUAUAUCAGUUAAAAUUGUCCAAGUUGUUUUUUAAAACCAUGGUGAGGCUGUGUGAG